rnacentral:rRNA from 1 species
UACAGAGGGGGCAAGCGUUGUUCGGAAUUACUGGGCGUAAAGGGCGCGUAGGCGGCCUGCUAAGUCGAACGUGAAAUCCCUGGGCUCAACCCAGGAACUGCGUCCGAUACUGGUUGGCUUGAAUCCGGGAGAGGGACGUGGAAUUCCAGGUGUAGCGGUGAAAUGCGUAGAUAUCUGCAGGAACACCCGUGGCGAAAGCGGCGCGCUGGACCACUACUGACGCUGAGGAACGAAAGCUAGGGGAGCAAACAGG